AAGCAAUAGAUGGUUGGCAGAGAAGCUGAAACGACUCGACCUCUACCAGGGCUCAGCUUUCUCAUCACUGAACUGGAGAUACAGGAGUUGGAGACUUGGAAUCCCCUUUGGUGCAGAAACUAUUCCUUCAUGAGAAGAAGUCCUUAAAUAGGCUCUUUAGACAGGAGGCCACAUGUUGAAGGCAGCAGGGUCACAAGAUGGAAGAACCAGGGUCCCAGUAUCAUCGCUCCCUGCUUCAAGCUGCCAGGGGCAGCCUAACCCACAUGGCAUUAUGACAUAAGAAACAAAGUAACUAUUGUUUUAUUAAAUCAAUGAGAUAUUGGGCUUCUUGUUAUAGCAACUAGUAUAAAUUGCCCUGACUGAUACAUUAUGGAUUUAGAGUGCACUGUACUACAACUGUUUGUUGUAUUUUCAAAAUUGUGGUAUAACUGACUUACAAUAAACUUCAUAUAUUUAAAGAGUACUAUUUAAUAAGUUCAACAUAUUCAUAUAUCCAUGAAACCAUCACCACAAUCAAAAUAAGACACAUUUCCAUCAACUGAAAAAGUCUCCUCAUUCUCCUUUGAAAUCUCUUCUUCC
rnacentral:lncRNA from 1 species